AUGCCAAAGGAAGUGCACCAUGGAGAGGAGGAGGUGGAGACCUUUGCCUUUCAGGCAGAAAUUGCCCAGCUCAUGUCCCUCAUCAUCAACACUUUCUAUUCCAACAAGGAGAUUUCCCUCCGAGAGUUAAUCUCUAAUGCUUCAGAUGCCCUGGACAAGAUUCCGUAUGAGAGCCUGACAGACCCUUCCAAGUUGGACAGUGGGAAAGAGCUGAAAAUUGACAUCAUCCCCAACCCUCAGGAGCGCACGCUGACUUUGGUGGACACCGACAUUGGCAUGACCAAGGCUGACCUCAUUAAUAACCUGGGAACCAUUGCUAAGUCUGGCACAAAGGCAUUCAUGGAGGCUCUGCAGGCUGGUGCAGACAUCUCCAUGAUCGGGCAGUUUGGUGUCGGAUUCUACUCUGCCUAUCUAGUGGCAGAGAAAGUGGUUGUGAUCACGAAGCACAACGACGAUGAGCAGUACGCCUGGGAGUCGUCAGCGGGUGGCUCCUUCACCAUCCGGGCAGACCACGGUGAGCUCAUUGGCUGGUGUACCAAAGUGAUCCUUCACCUCAAAGAAGACCAGACAGAGUACUUAGAGGAGCGGAGGGUCAAGGAGGUGGUGAAGAAACACUCGCAGUUCAUAGGCUAUCCCAUCACCCUCUAUUUGGAGAAGGAGUGGGAGAAGAUCAGUGAUGAUGAGGCAGAGGAGGAGAAAGGCGAGGAGGAGGAAGACAAGGAGGAGGAGGAGAAGCCUAAGAUUGAAGAUGUGGGGUCUGAUGAGGAAGACGACAGCGGCAAAGACAAGAAGAGGAAAACAAAGAAGAUCAAGGAGAAGAACAUUGACAAGGAGGAGCUGAACAAGACAAAGCCCAUCUGGACCAGAAAUCCGGAUGACAUCACUCAAGGGGAGUAUGGGGAUCUCUAUAAGAGCCUCACCAAUGACUAGGAGGACCACCUGGCAGGCAAGCACUUCUCUGUAGAAGGUCAGCUGGAAUUCAGGGCAUUGCUCUUCAUUCCCCGGCAAGCUCCCUUUGACCUUUUUGAGAACAACAAGAAGAACAACAACAUCAAAUUGUAUGUCCGUCGUGUGUUCAUCAUGGACAGCUGUGAUGAGCUGAUACCUGAGUACCUCAACUUUAUCCGUGGUGUGGUUGACUCCGAGGACUUGCCCCUGAACAUCUCCCAGGAGAUGCUGCAGCAGAGCAAGAUCCUGAAGGUCAUCUGCAAGAACAUUGUCAAGAAGUGCCUGGAGCUCUUCUCGGAGCUGUCUGAAGACAAGGAGAACUACAAGAAGUUCUAUGAGGCCUUCUCCAAGAAUUUAAAGCUUGGAAUUCAUGAAGAUUCCACUAACCGUCGCUGCCUCUCUGAGCUCCUUCGCUAUCACACCUCUCAGUCUGGAGAUGAGAUGACUUCCCUGUCAGAGCAUGUGUCUCCCAUGAAGGAGACCCAGAAGUCCAUCUACGAGAUCACUGGUGAGAGCAAAGAACAAGCGGCCAACUCUGCCUUUGUGGAGCAUGUGCGGAAAUGGGGCUUCGAGGUGUGUAUGUGACUGAGCCUAUUGAUGAGUACUGUGUGCAGCAGCUCAAGGAGUUUGAUGGGAAGAGUCUGGUCUCGGUGACUAAGGAGGGCCUGGAGCUACCAGAGGAUGAGGAAGAGAAGAAGAAAAUGGAGGAGAGCAAGGCAAAGUUUGAGAAUCUCUGCAAGCUCAUGAAGGAGAUCUUGGACAAGAAGGUUGAAAAAGUGACAAUCUCCAAUAGGCUUGUGUCUUCACCCUGCUGCAUUGUGACAAGCACCUAUGGCUGGACAGCCAACAUGGAGUGGAUCACGAAGGCCCAGGCACUGCCAGACAACUCUACAACGGGCUACAUGAUGGCCAAAAACACCUGGAGAUCAACCCUGACCAUCCCCUCGUGGAGACCCUGCGGCAGAAGGCUGAGGCAGACAAAAACGACAAAGCUGUCAAGGACCUGGUGGUGCUGCUGUUUGAAACUGNUCUGCUCUCCUCUGGCUUCUCACUUGAGGAUCCCCAAACCCACUUCAACCGAAUCUACCACAUGAUAAAACUAGGCCUGGGCAUCGAUGAAGAUGAGGUCACUGCAGAAGAGCCCAGUGCUGCUGUCCCUGAUGAGAUCCCCACCACCACCACUGGAAGGUGAUGAGGAUGCCUCUCGCAUGGAAGAAGUGGAUUAAAGCCUCCUGGAAGCCCUGCCCUCUAUAUAGUAUCCCCGUGGCUCCCCCAGCAGC